GGUCAGAUCACAUUUCACUUUUGUAGUUCCUCCGUUCAUUUGUUUCGAAGCGCAGCCCUGAGCCUCCAGCCCUUACCAACGUCGUCCCUCACCAUACUGUCGAAUUCCGACCAGCCACCGGCCCACCACCACACCAUACUCUCGUCUCUGACUCUCCAGCCUUCCUUCACCACACAACCACCGCUCUCCCUCGCUAUCUCUCUCUCUCUAGGGCGAUUGUCUUUCACGGACAGGUCAGGUCACAGAACUGGGGAUCUCUCUCACGGUCUCACCACCACACCGAGUCUGAGUCUCACUCUCACCCCAAAUUAGGUUGUUUUUCUUGAAUCAUUUAUUCUCGAGCAGCUUUUAAAGGUUUAGCAUACAAGCGCUACAAGAUGGACGGAUCUAGUAGCCAAUCUAGUACACAUAUAGUCUCGGUAUUAGGAAAACGAAAACAAACUCAACCUAGUGGUACUCUUCAACUAGGCACUCCCUCACCUCAAGAUUAUUUGCAUAAUGAUUAUUAUGAAGAUUGUUGGGAUGAUGAUCUGGAUGUGGAGGAGGAUAUUGCAUUAGA